AGACUACUGUGCUCACGAACUCCCAACUGCUGCAGCUGGUUGAAUAAGACCUGGAUAAGAUCAAGCCAGAUGACAUUCCAGCAUGAAGGGGAAAUAUAUGAGCCUCACUGCUAGCUGAGGAGCUAUGGGACAUUGGGCUGCGUCUUCAGAACCUGCCACAAACUCAGCAAAUGUCUUAAUGAAUUAAUGAUUAACAAUCAUGCCGUCAUCCUUCACCAUCCCAGGAAUGGACCUGACUAGGGCUUUGAGGGAAAGAAGAAAAGACAGAGAUUCUCAGAAAAGCUGGAUCAGGCGGGCUGGGCUCUCUGAGGGAGACACUGCAGCACCUUUGUGUGGAUAAGGUUGAACACUGUGUAAAGAUUAUCCUUGUAUCAUUCAAAUGUUGAUUUCUGUGCCCCCCAUAUCUGGUUGCCAUCCUUAUUCUGAGAAUCUCCUGUCUUAGUGUUGUGUAAACAUUGCUCCCCAAUUACUCCAUGAUUGAUCAAUAAAGACGCUGAUUAGCCAAUGA